CAAUAGCGUAUAUUAAAGUUGUUGCAGUUAAAAAGCUCGUAGUUGGAUUUCUGGUCGGAAGCUCCUGUCCUCUGAUGAGCGUACAAGUGCGUCCUACCAUCCUUCUGUUAACCUUUAAGGCUUUCGCGGCUUUCUAGGGGCUCAGAUAUUUUACCUUGAGAAAAUUAGAGUGUUUCAGGCAGGCUAGCGCCGGAAUACAUUAGCAUGGAAUAAUGGAAUAGGACUUUUGCCUCUUCUGUUGGUCAUGAGGCUCGAGUAAUGAUUAAUAGGGAUAGUUGGGGGCAUUAGUACUUAACUGUCAGAGGUGAAAUUCUCGGAUUUGUUAAAGACUAACUUAUGCGAAAGCAUUUGCCAGGGAUGUUUUCACUGA
rnacentral:rRNA from 1 species